rnacentral:rRNA from 1 species
ACUAAGCGUACACGGUGGAUGCCCUGGCAGUCAGAGGCGAUGAAGGACGUGCUAAUCUGCGAUAAGCGUCGGUAAGGUGAUAUGAACCGUUAUAACCGGCGAUUUCCGAAUGGGGAAACCCAGUGUGUUUCGACACACUAUCAUUAACUGAAUCCAUAGGUUAAUGAGGCGAACCGGGGGAACUGAAACAUCUAAGUACCCGAGGAAAAGAAAUCAACCGAGAUUCCCCAGUAGCGGCGAGCGAACGGGGAGGAGCCCAGAGCCUGAAUCAGUGUGUGUGUUAGUGGAAGCGUCUGGAAAGGCGCGCGAUACAGGGUGACAGCCCCGUACACAAAAAUGCACAUGCUGUGAGCUCGAUGAGUAGGGCGGGACACGUGGUAUCCUGUCUGAAUAUGGGGGGACCAUCCUCCAAGGCUAAAUACUCCUGACUGACCGAUAGUGAACCAGUACCGUGAGGGAAAGGCGAAAAGAACCCCGGCGAGGGGAGUGAAAAAGAACCUGAAACCGUGUACGUACAAGCAGUGGGAGCCUCUUUUAUGGGGUGACUGCGUACCUUUUGUAUAAUGGGUCAGCGACUUAUAUUCUGUAGCAAGGUUAACCGAAUAGGGGAGCCGAAGGGAAACCGAGUCUUAACUGGGCGUUAAGUUGCAGGGUAUAGACCCGAAACCCGGUGAUCUAGCCAUGGGCAGGUUGAAGGUUGGGUAACACUAACUGGAGGACCGAACCGACUAAUGUUGAAAAAUUAGCGGAUGACUUGUGGCUGGGGGUGAAAGGCCAAUCAAACCGGGAGAUAGCUGGUUCUCCCCGAAAGCUAUUUAGGUAGCGCCUCGUGAAUUCAUCUCCGGGGGUAGAGCACUGUUUCGGCAAGGGGGUCAUCCCGACUUACCAACCCGAUGCAAACUGCGAAUACCGGAGAAUGUUAUCACGGGAGACACACGGCGGGUGCUAACGUCCGUCGUGAAGAGGGAAACAACCCAGACCGCCAGCUAAGGUCCCAAAGUCAUGGUUAAGUGGGAAACGAUGUGGGAAGGCCCAGACAGCCAGGAUGUUGGCUUAGAAGCAGCCAUCAUUUAAAGAAAGCGUAAUAGCUCACUGGUCGAGUCGGCCUGCGCGGAAGAUGUAACGGGGCUAAACCAUGCACCGAAGCUGCGGCAGCGACGCUUAUGCGUUGUUGGGUAGGGGAGCGUUCUGUAAGCCUGUGAAGGUGUGCUGUGAGGCAUGCUGGAGGUAUCAGAAGUGCGAAUGCUGACAUAAGUAACGAUAAAGCGGGUGAAAAGCCCGCUCGCCGGAAGACCAAGGGUUCCUGUCCAACGUUAAUCGGGGCAGGGUGAGUCGACCCCUAAGGCGAGGCCGAAAGGCGUAGUCGAUGGGAAACAGGUUAAUAUUCCUGUACUUGGUGUUACUGCGAAGGGGGGACGGAGAAGGCUAUGUUGGCCGGGCGACGGUUGUCCCGGUUUAAGCGUGUAGGCUGGUUUUCCAGGCAAAUCCGGAAAAUCAAGGCUGAGGCGUGAUGACGAGGCACUACGGUGCUGAAGCAACAAAUGCCCUGCUUCCAGGAAAAGCCUCUAAGCAUCAGGUAACAUCAAAUCGUACCCCAAACCGACACAGGUGGUCAGGUAGAGAAUACCAAGGCGCUUGAGAGAACUCGGGUGAAGGAACUAGGCAAAAUGGUGCCGUAACUUCGGGAGAAGGCACGCUGAUAUGUAGGUGAAGCGACUUGCUCGUGGAGCUGAAAUCAGUCGAAGAUACCAGCUGGCUGCAACUGUUUAUUAAAAACACAGCACUGUGCAAACACGAAAGUGGACGUAUACGGUGUGACGCCUGCCCGGUGCCGGAAGGUUAAUUGAUGGGGUCAGCGCAAGCGAAGCUCUUGAUCGAAGCCCCGGUAAACGGCGGCCGUAACUAUAACGGUCCUAAGGUAGCGAAAUUCCUUGUCGGGUAAGUUCCGACCUGCACGAAUGGCGUAAUGAUGGCCAGGCUGUCUCCACCCGAGACUCAGUGAAAUUGAACUCGCUGUGAAGAUGCAGUGUACCCGCGGCAAGACGGAAAGACCCCGUGAACCUUUACUAUAGCUUGACACUGAACAUUGAGCCUUGAUGUGUAGGAUAGGUGGGAGGCUUUGAAGUGUGGACGCCAGUCUGCAUGGAGCCGACCUUGAAAUACCACCCUUUAAUGUUUGAUGUUCUAACGUUGACCCGUAAUCCGGGUUGCGGACAGUGUCUGGUGGGUAGUUUGACUGGGGCGGUCUCCUCCUAAAGAGUAACGGAGGAGCACGAAGGUUGGCUAAUCCUGGUCGGACAUCAGGAGGUUAGUGCAAUGGCAUAAGCCAGCUUGACUGCGAGCGUGACGGCGCGAGCAGGUGCGAAAGCAGGUCAUAGUGAUCCGGUGGUUCUGAAUGGAAGGGCCAUCGCUCAACGGAUAAAAGGUACUCCGGGGAUAACAGGCUGAUACCGCCCAAGAGUUCAUAUCGACGGCGGUGUUUGGCACCUCGAUGUCGGCUCAUCACAUCCUGGGGCUGAAGUAGGUCCCAAGGGUAUGGCUGUUCGCCAUUUAAAGUGGUACGCGAGCUGGGUUUAGAACGUCGUGAGACAGUUCGGUCCCUAUCUGCCGUGGGCGCUGGAGAACUGAGGGGGGCUGCUCCUAGUACGAGAGGACCGGAGUGGACGCAUCACUGGUGUUCGGGUUGUCAUGCCAAUGGCACUGCCCGGUAGCUAAAUGCGGAAGAGAUAAGUGCUGAAAGCAUCUAAGCACGAAACUUGCCCCGAGAUGAGUUCUCCCUGACUCCUUGAGAGUCCUGAAGGAACGUUGAAGACGACGACGUUGAUAGGCUGGGUGUGUAAGCGCAGCGAUGCGUUGAGCUAACCGGUACUAAUGAACCGUGAGGCUUAACC